rnacentral:lncRNA from 1 species
AGGAGCACCUCACUGUCUCCCUCUGCCCACCCACCUGCACCUGACAGCUGUGGGCUGUGCUCUCAGGGAGGCACCGUCAGAUGCUACCAGACUACAGAGGAGAGCACCCUCAAUCCUGACUGAAGGUUUGGGAAAAGGCUGCUCAGAAGAGGUGAUACUUGAUAUGGGCCCUGGAGGAGGAGAAGCAGUUUGAGAAGACAGCAGUGAGAGAUGGCAUCCGGGCAGGCGAGAAAUGCAAAGGGAAGAGAGGUCAUCCAGGACAAAAGUACAGAAUGAAAAGAAAAAGCAACUAAGCACGAAAUCUUGGAGAAUGUCCUCAUUGAAGGGUCCUGAGCACCAAGGGUACAGUCAGAAAUGAUGAAUCCAGAAAUGAUGCCCUCCAGAACUUCUGGUGAGGAAGGCACUCAGGAAAAUGCAGCACCCUAUGGAGGCCCAGAAAGGAGGGCAUUCAGGAAGAACACAGUCUGAUGGUGUCAAGUGCAGCGGAGGCUAAGAGAUACUGUUAUAUGUGCUCAUGUAAAUUGUCUGGCAAUUAGCUGCAAGAGGAUUGUAGGAAGAGAUUCUACCUAUCCAUCUCUUUACACCAUGCCUUCUGAAGAGAAGAUUUUCGGAGAGAAUCCUUGGAUUUAGUCAGGAAUAUUAGAUCCCUAAAUAAAAAUGUCUAAAAUCCUU